UACGUAGGAUGCAAGCGUUGUCCGGAAUUAUUGGGCGUAAAGAGCGCGCAGGCGGCCCAUCAAGUCAGAUGUGAAAUAACCAGGCUUAACCUGGUGGGGUCAUUUGAAACUGGCGGGCUAGAGUCCAGCAGAGGAUAGCGGAAUUCCCGGUGUAGUGGUGAAAUGCGUAGAGAUCGGGAGGAACAUCUGUGGCGAAGGCGGCCAUCUGGACCAGCACUGACACUGAGGCACGAAAGCGUGGGGAGCAAACAGG
rnacentral:rRNA from 1 species